rnacentral:rRNA from 1 species
AAAUCUAUAGGAUUGUAUUAAUAUUGAAUAAAGCUUUGUUUAUAUAUCGAUAAUGACGGUAUAUAUAUCGUGUCUUGACCAAUUACGUGCCAGCAGUCGCGGUAAUACGUAAGAGACUAGUGUUAUUCAUCUUAAUUAGGUUUAAAGGGUACUUAGACGGUCAAUAUAACUUCUAAAAUGUUAUUACUUGACUAGAGUUUUAUGUAAGAAGGCAGUACUUGAGGUGGAGAGAUAAAAUUCAAUGAUACCAAAGGGACUCGGUAAAGGCGAAGGCAGCCUUCUAUGUAAUAACUGACGUUGAAGGACGAAGGCUCAGAUCACAAAAAGGAAUAGUAUCCCUAGUAGUCUUUGCAGUAAAUGAUGAAUGCCAUAGGUUAGGUUAAAGAUUUAAUUAGUUUAUUCCUCAGUAAAGAAUAAACGGUUAAACGAAAUUUAGUCUAUAAAUGAAAGUGUAAGCAUUUCACCUCAAGAGUAAUGUGGCAACGCUGGAACUGAAAUCAC